GAUGAACGCUGGCGGCGUGCCUAACACAUGCAAGUCGAGCGAUCUUCUUCGGAAGAGAGCGGCGGACGGGUGAGUAACGCGUGGGUAACCUGCCCUGUACACACGGAUAACAUACCGAAAGGUGUGCUAAUACGAGAUAAUAUGCUUUUAUCGCAUGGUAGAAGUAUCAAAGCUCCGGCGGUACAGGAUGGACCCGCGUCUGAUUAGCUAGUUGGUAAGGUAACGGCUUACCAAGGCGACGAUCAGUAGCCGACCUGAGAGGGUGAUCGGCCACAUUGGAACUGAGACACGGUCCAAACUCCUACGGGAGGCAGCAGUGGGGAAUAUUGCACAAUGGGCGAAAGCCUGAUGCAGCAACGCCGCGUGAGCGAUGAAGGCCUUCGGGUCGUAAAGCUCUGUCCUCAAGGAAGAUAAUGACGGUACUUGAGGAGGAAGCCCCGGCUAACUACGUGCCAGCAGCCGCAGUAAUAC
rnacentral:rRNA from 1 species